UCAGGUCUCCAAGGUGAACAGCCUCUGGCCAAUGGAACAAUGUAGGCAAGGGAAGUCGGCAAAACGGAUCCAUAACUUCGGGAAAAGGAUUGGCUCUGAGGACUGGGCUCGGGGGUCCCGGCCCCGAACCCGUCGGCUGUCGGCAGAUUGCUCGAGCUGCUCACGCGGCGAGAGCGGGUCGCCGCGUGCUGGCCGGGGGAUGGACCGGGAAUCGCCCCUUCGGGGGCUUUCCCCGAGCAU
rnacentral:rRNA from 1 species